AUGUGAACCGUGCACGACUGUAAUGAGCGCAACGGGCGAAUAAAAUAUUAAAUUGUUUUUAAAAAUCUAUUUAACUAGUGCUAUAUAGUAUAUUGUAUAAUCCAAGUUCGAAUCAAGAAAAACCGCUCAUCUGACUCGUACGCUGAAGGUUCAAUGAACAACUUUAAAAAAGUAUAAUACAGGGUGAUUUUUUUUAUCACGAACCAGCAAUUUUCUCGGAAG